UGCAGUGCGGUGGUCAGUUUGCAUAAAGACGCCCAUCUGAGUUCUGCACUCUGACUACAUUUAUAAUUUCCUGAAUGAGAUGCACUGUUAGAAUCUACAGCCACCAUGACUGCACUGGUUCUGCUCUUUGUAUUCAUAGUCUUCAUUCGGGACUCAAAAUGUCAGAUUUCUGUGAAUCAGCCCUCAGCACCAAAGUCAGUUCCCCCUGGAGGGAGCGUCACCUUCACUUGUACCACUGGGAGUAGCGUGAGUGGUUGGAUGGCCUGGUACCAGCAGAGACCCGAACAAACUCCUAAACUCCUAAUCUAUGGUGCAAGCUCUCGCUACGGUGACACCCCGAGUCGCUUCACUGGCAGCGGGUCAGGAACUUCAUACAGUUUGACUAUCAGUGGAGUCCAGCCUGAAGACGCCGGUCACUACUACUGUCAGCAGUAUCAGAGCUUACCACACAGUGAUUGAGACUCGUACAAAAAC